UAAAAGGUGUUUUUUCAACACCACCCAAAGAAUCAAAUCCAUAAUC
rfam:Dictyostelium discoideum AX4 chromosome 4, whole genome shotgun sequence.